UACGUAGGGGGCAAGCGUUGUCCGGAUUUACUGGGCGUAAAGCGCGUGUAGGUGGGAAGGAAAGUCCGGUGUAAAAGCCCACGGCUCAACCGUGGAAGGACGCUGGAAACUGCCUUUCUUGAGGGUGAUAGAGGGAAGUGGAAUUGCCGGUGUAGCGGUGAAAUGCGUAGAUAUCGGCAGGAACACCCGUGGCGAAGGCGGCUUCCUGGAUCACCCCUGACGCUGAGACGCGAAAGCGUGGGGAGCGAACGGG
rnacentral:misc_RNA from 1 species